GAUGAUUAAGAAUGCCUAGAAGAGGGUGAAUAAGCCAAUUUAAUAUUAUAAUUAAUAAACAAAAAUUAAACUUCGGUAGCAAGAUUGAUAUGGCUUAGCAAUCCUGAAACGUGAUGAGCAUAAAUAAAGGAACAUGCAAAGAAUUACUUUACGUGGUAAAACCCCACCUCUGGGAAAAAUUCACGGACUCCUCAGUCCAAAAGAGUCCACUAUAGAACGAUGAUUACAAGAAGCACACACACACUUAUCCUAGGCAUUCUAGAUAAUGUUUACCGACUUCUUCGUAACUCAACUUCUGUUACGGAAUGACAUUCGACACUCCUUAUGUUGAAAGCAAUAUUGGUCACGAUUGCUUCAAGCUCGCUGG
rnacentral:lncRNA from 1 species